rnacentral:rRNA from 1 species
AUUGAACGCUGGCGGCAGGCCUAACACAUGCAAGUCGAGCGGCAGCGGGAAAGUAGCUUGCUACUUUUGCCGGCGAGCGGCGGACGGGUGAGUAAUGCCUGGGAAAUUGCCCAGUCGAGGGGGAUAACAGUUGGAAACGACUGCUAAUACCGCAUACGCCCUACGGGGGAAAGCAGGGGACCUUCGGGCCUUGCGCGAUUGGAUAUGCCCAGGUGGGAUUAGCUAGUUGGUGAGGUAAUGGCUCACCAAGGCGACGAUCCCUAGCUGGUCUGAGAGGAUGAUCAGCCACACGGGAACGGAGACACGGUCCAGACUCCUACGGGAGGCAGCAGUGGGGAAUAUUGCACAAUGGGGGAAACCCUGAUGCAGCCAUGCCGCGUGUGUGAAGAAGGCCUUCGGGUUGUAAAGCACUUUCAGCGAGGAGGAAAGGUUGAUGCCUAAUACGUAUCAACUGUGACGUUACUCGCAGAAGAAGCACCGGCUAACUCCGUGCCAGCAGCCGCGGUAAUAC